rnacentral:lncRNA from 1 species
GCUGAUUAUCAGAUAAAUAAGAAACUAUUAAAAGAAGAUUUUAAUUCUAAUAAAAAUAGAAAAAAUAGAGAAUGGUUCCUUAAAGCCCAUGAUAAAGAUAGACAACAUUUUAUCAAAAAAUUUUGGUUCGAUCAAAUGAGGACUGAAGAGAGACAUAUCCCUUUCUUUGACUGGUUCAAUACUUAUUGGAGUGACCCUA